CCUACGGGGGGCAGCAGUGGGGAAUUUUCCGCAAUGGGCGAAAGCCUGACGGAGCAACGCCGCGUGAGGGAUGAAGGCCUCUGGGCUGUAAACCUCUUUUCUCAAGGAAGAAGAUCUGACGGUACUUGAGGAAUAAGCCACGGCUAAUUCCGUGCCAGCAGCCGCGGUAAUACGGGAGUGGCAAGCGUUAUCCGGAAUUAUUGGGCGUAAAGCGUCCGCAGGCGGCCUCGUAAGUCUGUCGUUAAAGCGUGGAGCUUAACUCCAUUUCAGCGAUGGAAAC
rnacentral:rRNA from 1 species